UACGUAGGGGGCGAGCGUUGUCCGGAUUUACUGGGCGUAAAGAGCGCGUAGGCGGAACUUUAAGCGUGGCCUGAAAGCCCCCGGCUCAACCGGGGAGUGCGGCUGCGAACUGGGUUUCUUGAGGACGAUAGAGGAGAGUGGAAUUCCUGGUGUAGCGGUGAAAUGCGUAGAUAUCAGGAGGAACACCCGAGGCGAAGGCGGCUCUCUGGGUCGUACCUGACGCUGAGGCGCGAAAGCGUGGGGAGCGAACGGG
rnacentral:rRNA from 1 species